UUGAUGAAUUGAUGAGAUUCCCGCCGUGUCCCAUUUGACAUAUCUGUCUGCCAUGUUACUUCAUCUGGCCUGUGACUCUUCUAAGAAGGUUCAUUAACUGAUGAUUAAGGUCCCCUGCCAACUGGAUGGUGCCAUCCACAUUGAAGGCAAAUCUUCCCUCACUCGGAAGGAAUCAGUCCACUCAGACUCAUUCCACUCAGCCUCACAAGCCAAUCUCCUCUGGAAACACCAUCACAGUACUAUUCUACACACCGAUACAGAACUAAUCAAGAGUACUAUGGAAGAGAGGGACUGUUGCAGCCUAGACUUUGAAGAUCAAGCCAUAAAAAGUACUGUAUCCUCCAUUUGCCAUUUAUUAUCUUUUGCUUUGGGAAAAACUGUCUUCCAUGUGUUGAGCUCAUUCAUUCAGCCCCAUGGAAAGGCCAACAUGGAGAGGGACUUCUACCAGUAGCCAGCACCAACUUUGCAGCCAUAUGUGUUUGCCACCUUGAAAGUGCAUCUCUCAGCCUUCAGUCAAGUCUCUAGAUGACUGCAACCUCACAAGAGCCUCUAAGUCACAACUGCUCAGCCAAGCCAUACCUGAAAUUGUUCACUCAGAAUAAUGGAGUCUGUCUUUGUGCAUCAAUCUGAAGCUGAUUUUGGCAGCGAGCAUCUGUUUCCCAGGUGAAGCCGAGUCUGCAAAGGAGAAUGAUAAGCAGUCAGAGAAUAAAAACCAGAACAGUGGAGCAUCAUGGAAGUCAAGGAAAAGAGUGUUUUAGUAACACUGUCAGAGUUCCUGAAAGACCAAGUAACAUAAGGAGUUGAGAGUUCAGAAAAGUCUAGAAAGUACCAGCUAGUGCUGAGUGAUGCAGAAAAUGUGCUCAGAGACGCAAUAUUU